rnacentral:lncRNA from 1 species
UUAUACAGUAAUUAUUUUUCAUAUAGCCUGUAUAUGUUCUGUGGAAUCUGCAUUAAACUGUAUCUUCCAAACUACUGAACGGAUCUGGGUGAAUUUUGGAUAUGUGGUUCACCCAGAUCCCCCAGUUCCGAGGAUAUACUUAUUUUUAUGGGGUUAUUGCAUGUUUUGGGGUCCCUGUGAUAUGUUUUAUAAUACUGUAUUUCUC